CUUUUCAAAGGGUCCAAUAAUCAAAUCAUUAUAGUAAUUAAGAUGUCAAUCCAUUUCUAAGAGUUUUGAAUCAAGGAGAAUUCAGGUUUUCAAUUAAGCUAAAUGCAAUCAAUAAGAUGGGGUGAUUCAAUCAAACUAACAAGUUUCAAGAACAACUAACAAGCAACUUUCAAUCAAAUAGAUAAAGGAGGAAUCAUGGGCACAUGAUUUUGCUUUCAGAUGACUAAGAUUUAAUCUAAAAUGACAAGGUUUCAAUAAACAAAUUCUCCUAAGUCUAGAUAUCAAUUCUAAGCAAGUUCUCUUCCAAGAUAAA
rnacentral:lncRNA from 1 species